rnacentral:lncRNA from 1 species
GGUAUUUCGGUAUAGAGGUAUAGAACCCGUUCGGGUAUUUCUGUACUUCUUGUCGGGUUCGGGUAUUUCUUGUAUUUAAAAAAAAAUCAAUUUUUCAUUUCUCAAAUUUCUUGUAUUUAAAAAUAUAACUUUCACUUAACUAUUUUUUUUAUUUUUAAUAGAUUGAAUGGUUAAUAGAUUUGGACAUAACAUUUUGAAACUAAUAAAGAUAUUAAUUUGGUUAUUGUUUUUAAAUUUUGGAUGUAACUUUUUGUUAAUUUUUGAAAUAAAAAGUUUGACAUGCAAUUUUAAGUGUGUAGUAAAUCAUUUUCCCCGUAAUUCUAUAUAUAUCAUAUGAACUUAAAGUAUGUGUAGUAUCAAUGUAAAUAUUUUAUAUAAAAUGAGAGAUGUAAACUAGAAGUAUAUGGUUAAUUA